GUCAUUCACUGGCUCCUCAUCUUCCUUUCACACCCAUUUCCCCCCAGAUGCUAUCCUUAGCUCUCUUCUUUCUCUGUCUCUUCCUAGACAAUUUCAUCCACUUCUAUGGUUCCAUUAUUACCAUCUCUGUGUAGAUACUGUAUAUUUGUGUAGAUGAUACCCAUAUCUAUAUAGUCAUCCCUGAUAUCUCCCUUGAGCUCCAGUCCUGCUGGCAGAGACAUUACUAGCAAUUUUUUACCUUGAGAAAGUGUUAUGAAAUAACAUAACAUCAAAUCGACUUUGUAAGACAGUUAUGGUUGUCAGGGUACAGACCUAGGAUACUAAGAAGUUGCUGCUAAGUAGACCACUGCCUGAAGGGAUGUUCAUCUGAGAUGCAAUAAGACCUAGCAAACUGGAGGAAGGGGCCACCUGGAAUCCUGUCAUUACAGAUCGAAUGGGUCCUGUCGGGGGCCGGGUCCUAGAAGCUGGUGAGGGUCCUGGGCUUUUGGAGGACCAUGGCAUGUCUCUGAGGAGUUCACUCACACUCUUGGAUGGGGCCCUGGGCCUUGGAAUACUAGGACUCGGUGCUCGCCUUGUCCUGGCCCUAGCUGGACCAGGCAUGAUGCUCCUGCUGCUGUUUCUAAUGUUGAGUUUCCUGACCUUCGACCUUGUGCAUGGACCCCUGGAGUUGCCUCUGCCUCAAAGACCAACAUUUAGACCCCUUGGGGCAGGGGGUGAAGGCCCCCACUUACAAGAACCAUUGCUCCCACCUACCCUGAGCCAAGUCCUGGAUGGAUUCCUGCUCUUCACCGGCCUGGGGCUCAUCUUUGGGGCCCUGAUGCCCUUCAGUAUCUUCAGCCUUAUAAUCAGCCUACAGGCUCUGGCCGGAAGCAAAGCCUCUGUUCUCUAGGAACCAGCAGGUUAAAAGAGCCUUCUCACAGAAAACACAUGAGGAUUGUCUCAGCCUCUGCCUCUGAAUUUCCUUUCCUGCUAUCUUUAGGCCAUCCUGGGAUGAGUUGCUUGAAAAGAAGAUCCCAGACUAGUUCUAGGUCCCAGGGUUUGAAAAUGAAUGCAGAGGCCC
rnacentral:lncRNA from 1 species